rnacentral:rRNA from 1 species
CGCCCGCUCAGAAACUCAAAGGAAUUGACGGGGGCCCGCACAAGCGGAGGAGCAUGUGGUUUAAUUCGAUGAUACGCGAGGAACCUUACCUGGGCUCGAACGUAAGAUGACUGUAGGUGAAAGCUUACAUCUCUUCGGAGCAUUUUACGAGGUGCUGCAUGGUUGUCGUCAGCUCGUGCCGUGAGGUGUCGGGUUAAGUCCCAUAACGAGCGCAACCCCUACCUUUAGUUGCCAUCAGGUCAAGCUGGGGACUCUAAUGAAACUGCCUACGCAAGUAGUGAGGAAGGUGGGGAUGACGUCAAAUCAGCACGGCCCUUACGUCCAGGGCUACACACGUGCUACAAUGGCCGGUACAAAGGGCAGCUACCUGGUGACAGGAUGCUAAUCUCAAAAGCCGGUCUCAGUUCGGAUUGAAGUCUGCAACUCGACUUCAUGAAGCUGGAAUCGCUAGUAAUCGCAGAUCAGCCAAGCUGCGGUGAAUACGUUCCCGGGCCUU